UAUUCUGCAUAGAGAAAUACAACGAGUUGCUUUUUCUUUAAACCGACGGUGGUAGAAACCAAAGUAAAUUAAUAAAGUAGCGACAGUACUACAACAAAUACAACAUUUACAAAAACCACAAGCAAUUUUGUUUUUGGUUUAAGGUCUGAGCUGUCAAAGUUGCCUGUUGUUGUUUUUGCUUUUGGGCUUGUUGUAUUUUUCGCCACAACAACCACAAGUGAAUUGACAGUUCAGACCAAAGUAAAAAAAAUAGUCAGCUGUUCUACUGAGUCUACUUUAUUAAUUUACUUUGGUAGAAACAAAUUUGUUUGGUUUUUCUAUCUGUGCUUCGAGAUCGACUUCGAACUCUUGUUGUAUUUGAUUGUUCUACAUCGUUUGGGAGCUUCUUUAACCAAAGUGAAAAGAGUACCUCAUCUGUAAUUUGAUUAAAAGCCAAUUCAAGGCGAAUUUACUGUACAGGUGGCGUUGAUAUUACAACAAGUACAACAUUGCAAAAACAACAUUGUAUUUUAUUGUUGCUUGGGUGGCAAUGUGUCAAAAGCAGCAGAUUAAAACAAAACAAAAAUUUGUCAAACAAAUAAAAUAAAAAUCAAAAAUUUGUAAAUAGAAACAAAAAAAAUAAUUUAAUAAAAAAUAAAUUAAUGGUUGUUAUUCGCAUUUUUAAAAUGUUUUGCUGUGCAAAACAAGAGAACUCCAAAUGUGGAGUAUCUGCCGUGCUUUGCGUUUGAGUGAGUCGUAUGAUGAAUUUGGCCACUUUAUAUCCUGUGGCUACUUGUAUGGACUAGCUGAUGACAAUCCUUACAUGUAAGAUAAACGUAAACGUUUACAUCGUCACUUUGGUUUAAGCGUAAUUUAAGACAAAUUUACUGUACAGUAAAUAGGCUGGGGCUGUGUCUGUAGACGUUUGCAGAACAUAUACCUGGUGGCGGUGUUUUGGCUCAUACCAUUAACCCAUUGCUAAUUGAGUACAAUCGGGUGAAGUGAAAUUCCUUAUUUUAGAUCCCCACUACAAGAGUGAAGGGGCAAGAAAAUGUAUUAAUUACAAUUUGUGCAUGUUGUAAUGACCCAUUAUGUUUUAGACAAUAGUUUGUAUUAAAUAAGGUUUUUUAUUACAAGUAUUACAAGAAUGGUAUUAAUCAAUAUAUUGUAACUCAUUAUAUUUUAUAAUUUAUUCACUAGAAUAAAAUAAUAAAACGAUUUUGGACUUUCA